AGAGUUCGAUUCUGGCUCAGGAUGAACGCUAGCUACAGGCUUAACACAUGCAAGUCGAGGGGAAACGAUAGGGAAAGCUUGCUUUUCCUAGGCGUCGACCGGCGCACGGGUGAGUAACGCGUAUCCAACCUGCCCAUGUCUGGGGAAUAACCCGUCGAAAGGCGGACUAACUCCCCAUGGUCUCCGAUGAGGACAUCUGAAUUGGAGUAAAGCUUCGCGGACAUGGAUGGGGAUGCGUCUGAUUAGGUAGUAGGCGGGGUAACGGCCCACCUAGCCUACGAUCAGUAGGGGUUCUGAGAGGAAGGUCCCCCACAUUGGAACUGAGACACGGUCCAA
rnacentral:rRNA from 1 species